AUGAAGGAAUUGGGGCUGCGCGAAGAGGACCUGGACGAUGUUGUGUUCGACGAGAAGAAGGCGCCUCAGGAGGCGGCGAGAUGGGUUGCCCUAACUAGGGUUAACACCAACAAGACAUACAGCAGGACUUGGUUCUAUCGCAACAUGAGAGCUGCCUGGGACAUCGCACAAGAAGCAAAGUUCAGGCCUUUGGAGGAUAAUUUGUACACGGUGCAAUUUUCAUGUUUAGGGGACUGGGAG
rnacentral:rRNA from 1 species